rnacentral:rRNA from 1 species
GAUGAACGCUGGCGGCGUGCCUAAUACAUGCAAGUCGAGCGAACAGACGAGGAGCUUGCUCCCUUGACGUUAGCGGCGGACGGGUGAGUAACACGUGGAUAACCUACCUAUAAGACUGGGAUAACUUCGGGAAACCGGAGCUAAUACCGGAUAACAUGUUGAACCGCAUGGUUCAACAGUGAAAGACGGUCUUGCUGUCACUUAUAGAUGGAUCCGCGCCGCAUUAGCUAGUUGGUAAGGUGACGGCUUACCAAGGCAACGAUGCGUAGCCGACCUGAGAGGGUGAUCGGCCACACUGGAACUGAGACACGGUCCAGACUCCUACGGGAGGCAGCAGUAGGGAAUCUUCCGCAAUGGGCGAAAGCCUGACGGAGCAACGCCGCGUGAGUGAAGAAGGUCUUCGGAUCGUAAAACUCUGUUAUUAGGGAAGAACAAAUGUGUAAGUAACUAUGCACGUCUUGACGGUACCUAAUCAGAAAGCCACGGCUAACUACGUG